AGCUAACUUACCCUAUGAUUCAGGAUAACCUCGGGAAACUGAGACUAAUACUGAAUAAAAGAAGGAGGCUGGAAUGCACUUUCUUAUAAAGGCAACGUCAUAGGAGAGGGCUGCGGCGGAUUAGGUUGUUGGCGGGGUAAUGGCCCACCAAGCCUAUGAUCCGUAAGGGCUCUUAGCGGAGAAGCCCUGAGAGGGAAUCUGAGACACUAUUCCCAGCCCUACGGGGUGCAGCAGUCGGGAAAAUUCUGCAAUGCGCGCAAGCGUGACAGAGCAAGCCAGAGUGCUUCUCUUUUUUUGAGAAGCUUUUGUGAGAUGUAAAAAGUCUUACGAAUAAGGACUGGGCAAGACUGGUGCCAGCCGCCGCGGUAAUCCCAGCAGUCCAAGUCGCAAUCACAUUUAUUGGGUCUAAAACAUCCGUAGCUUGCUAUGCAAGUCUCUUGUGAAAUCCGGCCUCUUAAGGGCCGAACUGCGAGAGAUACUACAUGGCUAGAGACCGGGAGAGGCAAGAAGUACGAUAGGGGUAGCGGUAAAAUGUGUUGAUCCUUAUCGGGCUAACAACAGCGAAGGCAUCUUGCUAGAACGGAUCUGACAGUGAGGGAUGAAGGCUAGGGGCGCAAAGUGGAUUAGAUACCCAUGUAGUCCUAGCAGUAAACACUGCACACUAAACAUCGGAGCCUCUUCGAGAGGCCUCGGUGCUGAAGGGAAGCUGAAGAGUGUGCUACCUGGGAAGUAUAGUCGCAAGACCGAGACUUGA
rnacentral:rRNA from 1 species